rnacentral:rRNA from 1 species
GCUCAGUAACACGUGGAUAACCUGCCCUUGGGUCUGGCAUAACCCCGGGAAACUGGGGAUAAUUCCGGAUAACGCAUAUAUGCUGGAAUGCUUUAUGCGUAAAAUGGAUUCGUCCGCCCAAGGAUGGGUCUGCGGCCUAUCAGGUAGUAGUGGGUGUAAUGUACCUACUAGCCUACAACGGGUACGGGUUGUGAGAGCAAGAGCCCGGAGAUGGAACCUGAGACAAGGUUCCAGACCCUACGGGGUGCAGCAGGCGCGAAACCUCCGCAAUGUACGAAAGUGCGACGGGGGGAUCCCAAGUGUCAUUCUUAACGGGAUGGCUUUUCAUUAGUGUAAAAAGCUUUUAGAAUAAGAGCUGGGCAAGACCGGUGCCAGCAGCCGCGGUAAUAC